GAUGAACGCUGGCGGCGUGCCUAAUACAUGCAAGUCGAGCGAACAGACGAGGAGCUUGCUCCUCUGACGUUAGCGGCGGACGGGUGAGUAACACGUGGAUAACCUACCUAUAAGACUGGGAUAACUUCGGGAAACCGGAGCUAAUACCGGAUAAUAUUUUGAACCGCAUGGUUCAAUAGUGAAAGACGGUUUUGCUGUCACUUAUAGAUGGAUCCGCGCCGCAUUAGCUAGUUGGUAAGGUAACGGCUUACCAAGGCAACGAUUCGUAGCCGACCUGAGAGGGGUAGUCGCCCCCCCGGAACCUAGACACGGUCCCGAAUCCCAAGGGAGGGCGCAGUAGGGAAUCCUUCCGCAUGGGGCAAAGCCCUACGGAGGAACCGCGGCGUAGGUAAGAAGGUCCUUCGAUUCGAAAAACUUGUUAUUAGGGAAGAACAAAUGGGUAAGUUAACUUGCCCCGCCUUAAGGUAACUAAACAGAAAGCCCCCGCUAACCUCGUG
rnacentral:rRNA from 1 species